UGAAAUCUGCAACACUGUGUAGCCUGCCAUCCUGCCCACCAUUUAUACCACUCAACUUCGAAGCCACUCCUAUUGUGAGAGUUGCUGUUGAACCAAAACAUCCAAGUGAAAUGCCUCAGCUCGUAAAAGGAAUGAAACUGUUAAACCAGGCUGAUCCCUGUGUCCAGAUUUUAAUUCAGGAAACGGGAGAGCACGUUUUAGUCACAGCAGGAGAAGUCCACCUUCAGCGAUGCCUGGAUGACUUAAAAGAAAGGUUAGGUGAAAAUGAUAGCGAUGGAGAAAUGAUAGCUCUCAAUCAAUGGGAUGUUUUAGUGUUUCCUAAACCAGUUGAACUUAGACUGCGGCUUAUUUUUGGAGAAAAAUGAAAUGCCCUCAAUUCAGACAUGAACAGUUAUUCGAUUGUAGACUUAUUUUUUAAUAACUGAAAAAUGGCAUUCACUGCCUACACUUGAAUAAUUUUGCAUUUUUAGCUUAAGUCAUAAAAUGUUUUUCUGUGUAUG
rnacentral:lncRNA from 1 species